rnacentral:misc_RNA from 1 species
AACUGAUACUACCUGCGGGAACCUGCGGAAGGAUCAUUACGCAUAGGGACUGGCAGCCGAGUCCCCACCUAGCGAAAAUUAGGUGGGGUAAGGUGCGCCAGCAACCCCCCGAGCAUAUCGCCGGGCCACCCUGCCUUUUGAGCACCAUUUCGUUUCCUCGGCGGGCUUGCCCGCCACUGGGGACCCUCAAAAACCUUUUGUAAUGAGAAGUAACAGUAAAAGAAAAAUUAAUCACAACUU